GAUGAAGAACGUAGUGAAAUGCGAUAAGUAGUGUGAAUUGCAGAAUUCAGUGAAUCAUCGAAUCUUUGAACGCACAUUGCGCCCCUUGGUAUUCCAUGGGGCAUGCCUGUCCGAGCGUCAUUACAACCCUCAAGCUCAGCUUGGUGUUGGGCCCCGCCGCCCCGGCGGGCCCUAAAGUCAGUGGCGGUGCCGUCCGGCUCCGAGCGUAGUAAUUCUUCUCGCUCUGGAGGUCCGGUCGCGUGCUCGCCAGCAACCCCCAAUUUUUUUCAGGUUGACCUCGGAUCAGGUAGGGAUACCCGCUGAACUUAAGCAUAUCAAUAAGCGGAGGA
rnacentral:misc_RNA from 1 species